GACGAACGCUGGCGGCGUGCUUAACACAUGCAAGUCGAACGGAAAGGCCCUGCUUGCAGGGUGCUCGAGUGGCGAACGGGUGAGUAACACGUGGGUGAUCUGCCCCUUACUUUGGGAUAAGCCUGGGAAACUGGGUCUAAUACUGGAUAGGACCAUGCUGUAGGUGGUGUGGUGGAAAGAUUAGUUUCGGUAAGGGAUGAGCUCGCGGCCUAUCAGCUUGUUGGUGGGGUAAUGGCCUACCAAGGCGUCGACGGGUAGCCGGCCUGAGAGGGUGGACGGCCACAUUGGGACUGAGAUACGGCCCAGACUCCUACGGGAGGCAGCAGUGGGGAAUAUUGCACAAUGGGCGCAAGCCUGAUGCAGCGACGCCGCGUGGGGGAUGACGGCCUUCGGGUUGUAAACUCCUUUCAGCCAUGACGAAGCCCUCGUGGUGACGGUAGUGGUAGAAGAAGCACCGGCUAACUACGUG
rnacentral:rRNA from 1 species